rnacentral:rRNA from 1 species
GACGAACGCUGGCGGCGUGCCUAAUACAUGCAAGUAGAACGCAGUUGCGAACGGGUGAGUACCGCGUAGGUAACUGCCUCAUAGCGGGGGUUAACUAUUGGAAACGCUUGCUAAUACCGCAUAUUUGGAGUUGGACCUGCGUUGUAUUAGCUAGUUGGUGAGGUAAAUGCUAACCAAGGCGCCGAUGCAUAGCCGACCUGAGAGGGUGAUCGGCCACACUGGGAAUGAGACACGGCCCAGAAUCCUACGGGAGGCAGCAGUAGGGAAGCUUCGGCAAUGGACGGAAGUCUGACCGAGCAACGCCGCGUGAGUGAAGAAGGUUUUCGGAUCGUAAAGCUCUGUUGUUAGAGAAGCGGUAACUAACAAGAAAGGGACGGCUAACUACGUGCCAGCAGCCGCGGUAAUU